rnacentral:lncRNA from 1 species
GAUGGUUGGCGAGUGCGAAGCGGUUCUCGAGAUACCGUAUCGUGUCCUUCCGGCGCGAUUACCGGCACGUGUAGGGCAUUCUGCCGCCGUGAGGAGGAGCUACCAUAGGCCUUGACUGAUCAAAUUCAUCAUUUGUGCCGAUCCGUCAACCCGUUGAGGGCAGCCUGACGACACCAGAAGGAGCUUCCUGCGGCCCUACUGUGUGACGCUCCUGCUCUGAAUUGACACUUAUAAAGCUACCGUCCCCACCAAGGCUCCAUUGCAGCAGCGACAGCGGGAUGGUCACGUACUGAAGUGAAUUCUGUCUUUCGUGCAGUCAAUCUGAGCAACUUACCAGCACGCUGAACUUGUGGCGAAGUCAGCUCUUCUAAAAGGAGUAUGUACACAGCUUCAACAAGAAGCACAAAGUGGUUCAGGUGGCGCUGUGGCAGGAUCUCUGAGCAGCAUGGCACGGCAUAGAAGAGGAGCCAGUGGCACCAUUCACUCGCCUUCCAAUGGCAACGUUCUCUGAUCGAGUGUGGGAACCUAGUGAAGCACUGAGGAGGCUUGAUGAAGAGCAGCCUCUUGUCCACCUGUGCGACAGUUGAUUGGCGCCCUGCCGUAUAAUGUGAUAUAAGUAACCCAUUCCACCAUUUUAUAAGAGGGACAUAGUUUUGCAAAAAAAUACCAUAAAAGAGAGACUGCCAU